UGGUUUCAUUGCUCGUAAAUUAUGUCCAGAGUUAAUUUUUGUUCCUACGGAUUUCAAGAAGUAUACUUAUUACAGUGAUUUAACGAGAAAAGUUUUCCGGAAGUAUGAUCCUAAUUUCAUGGCUGCUAGUUUAGAUGAAGCCUACCUCGAUGUAACUGAGGUUUGUACAGAAAAGGGCACUAGUGGUGAAGAAGUUGCCAAAGAAAUCAGAAAUUGCGUAUUCGAAGAGACUGGUCUUACAUGUAGUGCUGGAAUUGCACCAAAUCGUCUACUUGCAAAGGUUUUACAGGCUAUCUGCCGAUGAAGUUGUAUUUUGUCGCUUUAAGAAAAUUCAGUGGUAAAAAGUUGGAUAUGACUUGUAUUUUGUCACUUUAAGAAAAUUCAGUGGUAAUAACUUAAUCUGGC